UGGCAGUGGGAAGAAGAAAGGGUCUGCAGCUGAUGGAGGAAGGAAGAGGACAAGGAGGAAUGUAGCAGCCAAGACAAAAUGGAAGAGAUGAGGAAAAGGCUCUGGCUGAGAACAUUGGAAACAAUGUCAAAAUCAACCCUCUUCUGGAUGCUAUGGUCAUGUGCUGCCACUGAUGCCAGUGAAAGAAAGAGGCCACCAGGGGAAGUGGUCUUCACAAUAGAGGGAAUAUACUGUUAGAGCUGAGUGGAGCCAAGCAGCAGCUCACUCUUUACAAAGAGGGCCCAUGGCAUCUCCACCUGAACCCUUCAAAAGUUCACAGCUCAAGUGAAGGCAAAGUCCAUCCAUCCAGUCUGAUAGAAAGCUUUGCUGAGUUCCUUUGGAGGAGUAUGAGAUCCCUUACAUCUAAGCAAGCUGAAGAUCUGCCCAGGUAUGUGAUUUUCUUCUCAUCCAUGUGCUGGCAAAACUUAAUUAGCCAAAUACUGUUGAUUGCAUGUGGGUCAAGAGAAAUGCAGACUGCGGACUAAAUCCCAGCCAUUCAUCUUGAAUUUGAGACUCAUCUGGAGGGCAGAAGUCAUAGAAGUGAUCAUGGCUGCUCCUUGAACCAGUAGCCAUAAUUGCUUCUGCUCUUUCCUCAUUUGCCUUCUGGGCAACAGGCUCAGUGCUGGAAGGUCAGGCAGAGGAUGCUGGAAAGCUGUGGUGCUCCAGCAGCAAAAUUUCCCACACUUUGUUAUGUCCCACAACCUCUUCUGUGUUGUACACUUUUUACCACAAAGGACAAUAUAUGGUGGAUGUAGUGAUAUCCUAGUGCUCUUAUGCUGGUCAGUACAUUUGUGCUGAACAGUGACUGCUUAGAGUUGGGAUAACUGGGAUCAUUUUCAAGUUUGACAUAAAACUGUGAUUACAACUACUUGUGGUAAUUAAAAACCUCUUGUUAUACACUUGUGCCAUGUUUGUACUAUGCUGAUGGAAUCACUGUGACUUUUGUACUGAAUUAUAGCUGGUCCCACAAACAACAUGCUUUUUCCAUGGAAGGUCUGGUUUAAACCCAGUUAACUCCAGUGGUUUUGGAUCAGCCUGAAAGAAACUUCCAAUCUCUGUAGGCAAGAAGUGAAGAACACCAUAUUGCAUUAAUUUUCCACAAAUUGCUUAAUAAGGAAUACAGUUCUACAGUAGUAGGACAAAAGCCUUUCCUUUUGUGGAAAAAGCUACAGGACCACCAAUGAACUCUAUUUUACCACUCAUCAAAAAAUCUAGCACUGCUGUGCCAACCAUAGUAGUACAGCUGCCCUAGGCAAAUAAGCACAUCCAUGUUUACAACUGGCCAGCCUUCUCCCACAGGCUUAUGUAUUGCUUUGGCAAUUCUAAGUAUCAGCAUAUCACAUCCACUGUUCCCAUAAGAGGAGGAAAAGUCACAGCUCAGUUUACAUCUGUAUGUCAUAUCCCUAUGGAUACCUCCAAAAGGCCAUGGAAGGAGCCAAGGAGAAAACAAAGAUCAACUAUUUAUAAUAGAAGAAAGAAACAACUUUCUAAGAAGAAAAACAGCAAGCUCCAUACACCCUUUGGAACUACAAAUAUACCAUCAGGGAAUGACCCCAGAAGACUGAACAAAUGGUAAUGUUAUUGUUAAUGAGUUAGAUCCACAGCAAUUUUCACAGUGUUGAGGAAGAAGAUCAUGGACAUUUUUACUACGUGAGUAUUUGGUCUCUCAGUUGUUAACAGUGCUGAGCUGGAUCAGGUAUAUGGCCAUUGUCAUGGAAAAGAACCAGUCUGAAGAGCUUGAAAUUGAAGCUAUCUAUGCCCUAUAAGGGCAAGCCUGUAUGCAGCUGUUCUGAUGUAAACGGGAUGCUGAAUGAGUACACACUGGUCCUCUAAUAUCCGUGAGGUUGUGGAACUGGGAUACAAGCAGACUAGAAAGGUCAUGAGAAGAAAAAUAAAGCGAAUAUCUGCCUGCAGGUUUUAUUAGCCUGACUUCCUAAGGAAAUAAGUCUUGCAUAACAGCACUACUGUCCUGCCCUCAAAUAACUUUUGAUACUGUUGGCUUACUUCAUCUGAAUCUAACAGAAGUAUCAGCCUCGGAUAUAUUAUUUUCCUCCAGGUUUCAUGAAAGCUGGCAGCUACACAGGGAAAACACAGCUAAAUUAGUCUUCCCAACGAGGGGAGGGUUCCGGUGUGAAUUAAACAAUUACCUGCUCUGUUUUGCCUGCCAGCUGGCCAGCCAACAUGGCCAAACAACUUCAAGCCCAUCGGGGAAUAAUGAAUCAGUCUUAUUUUCACUUGAUGUAGAAGAGGGGGGAAUUUUCACUUGGUGGAAAGGAGUGAAGAGGUAGGUGCAUGGUGCCUGAGGGGAGGUGUGGAAGAAGCAGCAAUAAUUAAGGGGGAAAUAAGUCUGAGGAUACAUGGAGGAGGAGGAGGAAGCAUGGGCUGAAGGGACUCUAGGAACAUUGUGAGCUGGUAAACCGAGACUGUGGGGGUGAGAGAGGGCCACAGUGGAAGGACUGGAAGCUAUUGCAGUGCAGGCUAGUAGGAACGCAGUCUUCUGGAGACCAGGGCCUAAUUAGUGCUGCGGCUUACAGAGUGGCUUGUAUAUACAAAACCUGUCACAAAUACAUUUCUAGCCUACUUUCAGAAAUUAUAAGCAUCCUGAGCUUCUAUGGAUUUUAGCAGGAGCCAUGGGUGCUCAGCAUCACUAACUUUCAGGUCUUGUCUGUAUAAUUUCAGUUGAAUCCACAGCAGUCAUACCUGGCUGCUCUGGAGCAGGAGAAUUAUUAGAUCAUUAUGGUUUCUUAUAUCCAUCAGAGUAAAAGCAGAUCUGCAGGGGCUAUUAAUUUACAUAUGCUAGUAAAAUAAAGAAAAAGAAAUGCACCACAUAAGCUGUCAUCCUAAUUAUUGAAGAUCCAAAGACUGUGUGGUACUGGUGGAUACUCAAUUCUUAUUUCUCUAAUUGUUUUAAACGCACAGAUAUGUAUACUGAAUCAAUUAAAAAUAAAUGCUUCUGCAAAAUCAAUGCUAAGUCAUCCACAGCAAGAUUUAGCAUCCACAGCGGUGUUGAAAGCACUGUGGAAUCAUGAGGGGCAAUUCACACCUAACUGAAGUUUUAUGUUGGUGUAACCUCGCCGACAGAAGCAUAAACUAAAGAACUGAAGAAGUAAACAAAGCUAACAGAGCAAAUGAGCCUAGCAAUAGACCUUCAGAAAGGAAUUUAUCCUCUUAUCAUUUUUAAAAGUCAUCGUCCCCAGAGACAGCUGAUCAAGCCUCCAUAUCAAGAUUUCCAUUGUUAAUUAUUUGCAGCUUCUUUCAGAGACAUUCAAUCCCGUGACUAACCCCACAGCUCUCAAAUGAAGAUGUGCUGGGAAGAAAUCUCUCAGGACUUGGAGACCUUUGUUAGAAAUUUACCAUCAAAGAAGUCUGGACUUUCCCUGUGGUCCUUCCCCCACUCUCUCAGGCUUUGCCUCCUGUGGUUACAACUAAAUGGUUCCUGCCAGAGUGGACUUUUCCCAGGGGGUUGUUUUCUUCUGAUGCACAAAACUGGCUGUCAUCAAAUGACACACACACAUUACCACGUAUUUCACAGCUACUGUCUUAAAAGAUCUGCGCUCAAAUCUGCCUUUUCCUUACAUGCUGAAUGCUGGGUGGUACAGCUCAUUUUAUCUUAAGGAGCAAUAUUUCAUUUUUUAGGAAGUCCUGUUGGGGUCUAGAUUUUUCAAAAGGCUUUGAGGGAUGAAAACUGAGUUGUGAACAGCUCCCUGAGCACCUCUAAUUAUUUUAAUUGUCCCUGCAAUUAAAAGCAGAAGAGCAAUUCUUCUGAUUUAUUCUUCUAUUUAAUUUGCAGGUGAAAAUUUUUUCUAUUGCUGAAUUUUGGAAGUGAUCUACGGCUUGGAUUAGACCUGCCUAGAUUACUUGAUAUGCAGGUUUUACUCUCACAAUCAAAAAGCUUCCAUCUCUGGAAAUUUAAGACAAGCUGUUGUGUUUGUUCUUUGGUUGAAAGCAUUUUUGUUUCCAGUAAGUCUCCCAGUGAUACAGCUCAGCACACAGCACACGAAGCCAGCUAAGCAUGGAAAUGCAUGGGAGCUUUUGACUAAAUAUUCACCACCACACAUCACUGUUUCAAAGUUUCUCCUACCAAGAGAUGUUUUUAAGA